UACUUGAGAAACCUAACUUUAAUGUAAUAGGUUGCAAAGCCAACAGCAUAUGAGUCAGGAAAUUAAAAACUAUGGCUGCUCAAGCAACAAUCUACAUUCAGCACAGGCAGAAUGUUCACACUGCCCUUUCCUACGAGCUACUACUUGCAGAUUAGUGAUUGACACCAGGACUAAGGUAUGUACUCCUUUAAAAUUCCUUUUUUUUUUUUUUCCUUUAACAGAGAGUAACUAAAACUCUGGAAUAAGUAAAUAAAACAAUUUGUAAAUGGUAUAUAUUUCAUAAACAGUAUAUAUGAAAUUAAUUUAACUGUCUGCCAGACAUUCAAUCUAUCAAACCUGGAAAAUAACUUAGAAUUUUCAAGCUCCUCAUUUCAAAUAAUGUAUUUAUAUGGAGGGGGUGAUAUAUAUUAGCUAUUUAAAGAAACCAAACAAAUGAGCAGGAGGACAGCGAAACCAAACAAAUAAACAGGAAGACAGUCAUGACAACUAAGAAUGUGUCUGUUCCAUAGAGCAUAUGGGAAAAAAACAAGGCAAGAAUAUGAAAUGUACAAAAUGGAUUUGGGAUCUAAUUUGGAAGCAACAAAUUCCUACCACUCUUUCCUUAAAAGAAAGUAGAGCAUCCAGCUCCGUGCAUUACAGCACUGCUUUGCACAUGAAGAUUGCUUUUAACUGAAGAUGUUGAAUGAUAACUACCAACAAAAAUAUUUCAUUUCCUAUAAGUCACAGACUCAGUCUUAGACCUUUUUCACUGCCAAAAUGCUUAGACAGUCUCUGAAGAGUCAUUGAAUGUUUUCACUUCUGCAUGUAUUUGUUUCCAUUCAACUAGCCAACUUUUUAUCUUUGUGAAGGCUUUACUGUCUGUGAAAAGUGCUGGUUAGGCAACAUUUAUGUUGAAGGUUUCCCCUUUAUUGGUUAUUCUGAGGUACCAGGAUUUCUCUGGAUGCUCUUGCAGACCACAGAAUGGUCCAGUGGGCAGGUGCCUCUUGCAUAGCUGGGAAAAAGCUUUCCA
rnacentral:lncRNA from 1 species